AAUAAGAAUAUUAUUAAUUUUAUAAAAAUUUAAUUUUUAAUAAAAGUAAUUUUAAAAAAUUGUGUUUUAGUAUAAAUUAUAGAAAAAAUUUUUUUAAUUAUAGAUAAUUAGUAUUGUGAAAGAAAUAUUAUUUAAUUUAAAUUAAAAUAAAGUAAAAUUUAAUUUUUGUACCUUGUGUAUCAGGGUUUAUUAAAUAAUUAUUAUAUAGUUUAAUUUUCCCGAAUUUAAAAGAGAUAAUAAGUAAUUUUUUUUAUUGUAAAAAAAAUGUUAAUAAUUAUUUAUUUGUAAUGAAAAGUUAUUCGGUUUUAAAUAUAUCUGGUUUAUUAAGAAAUAAAUUUAAUUUAGAUAUUUAUAAUUUAUUAAUUUAUUUAUUUAGAUUAAUAGAUUUAAUUAUUAAUAAUUAAAGGGAUAAGCUUUUAAUUAAAUCCCUAAAAUAAUAUAAAGGUAAAAAGUAUGUAGGUUUAGAAAUAUUCAUUAUUUAUAGUUUGUUGUAAUUAUAUUUUUUAAAAAUAUUAUUUUAAUUUUAUUUAGGAUUUUAUUAAUAAUUUAUAUUUAAUAAUUUAUUAUUAUUUAUAAUGAUAGAAUUAGUAUAUAAAAUUUUUUAAAUAUUGAAUAAUUAUAGAUUAUUAAAAGGAAUUCGGCAAAUAUUUUAUUCGCCUGUUUAAUAAAAACAUGUCCUUUAGAUUUCGUUAUUUAAGGUCUAACCUGCCCAUUGAAAAUUUUAAAAGGCCGCAGUAUUUUGACUGUGCAAAGGUAGCAUAAUCAUUAGUUUUUUAAUUAAAAGCUUGUAUGAAUGGUUGGACGAGAUAAAAUCUGUCUUUUAAUUAAAUUUAGAAUUUAAUUUUUAAGUUAAAAAGCUUAAAUAUUAAUAAAAGACGAGAAGACCCUAUAGAUCUUUAUAAAAUUUUUUAACAUAUUAAUUAGGAUUAUUUAAUUUAUUAUAAAAGUUUUUAUUUUAUUGGGGUAAUAUAAAGAUUUAAAAAAUUCUUUUUUUUGGUAUAUUGAUAAAUAGUUUUUUGAUCCAUUAUUAAUGAUAAUAAGAUUAAGUUACCUUAGGGAUAACAGCGUAAUUUUUUUAGAGAGUUCAUAUCGAUAAAAAAGAUUGCGACCUCGAUGUUGGAUUAAAAUUAAUUCUAGGUGCAGAAGUUUAGAAUAUUGGUCUGUUCGACCAUUAAAUUUUUACAUGAUCUGAGUUUAGACCGGUGUAAGCCAGGUCGGUUUCUAUCUUUAUUAAGUUAAUUUAUUUUAGUACGAAAGGACCAAAUAUUUAAUAUAUUAAUAUUUAUUUUUUGAAUAAUAUU
rnacentral:rRNA from 1 species